CCAUGAGUACAGUGGCGACCGGGUGAGUAACACGUGACUACCUACCCUUGAGUGGGGGAUAACCUCGGGAAACCGAGGCUAAUACCGCAUAAUAUCGAGAGAUCAAAGGAGCAAUUCGCUUUUGGAGGGGGUCGCGGCUGAUUAGUUAGUUGGCGGGGUAAAGGCCUACCAAGGCAACGAUCAGUAGCCGGCCUGAGAGGGCACACGGCCACACUGGCACUGAAACACGGGCCAG
rnacentral:rRNA from 1 species